rnacentral:misc_RNA from 1 species
AAAUUCAAGAGCCAGCUGGGCCCUCAAAAAGCUGUGAUGUUAUGGUCAGACCCAAAGAAUUCAGAAAUGUUAACAUAAAUUAUUAGGGGAAGAGAAGAAGUGGAGAACCAGAACUUCUCCUUCUUGCUUUCCUCGGGGACAUAUAGUCCUCCAACUGGAGGGCACAUGAACAAUGUGAGACGUAAAUAAGACAUUAAGAUCUAACUUUUAAU